GAUGAAGAACGUAGCGAAAUGCGAUAAGUAAAGCGAAUUGCAGAAUUCAGUGAAUCAUCGAAUCUUUGAACGCACAUUGCGCCCGCUAGUAUUCUGGCGGGCAUGCCUGUCUGAGCGUCAUUUCAACCCUCGCCCCCGGCUUUUGCUGGGAGCGGUGUUGGGGAUCGGCCGCCCGUCACUGGGAGGCCGGCCCCGAAAUAGAGUGGCGACCACGCCGUGUGCUCCUCUGCGUAGUAGUAAAUCACCUCGCAGGCGGACAGCGGUGCGGCCUGCCGUAAAACCCCCAACUCUUUCUGGUUGACCUCAGAUCAGGUAGGAAUACCCGCUGAACUUAAGCAUAUCAAUAAGCGGAGGA
rnacentral:misc_RNA from 1 species